UCUCCUUUAUAAUAUUAUACAUACGAAUAAUGAGUAUUUGCCCGCAUGUAAAAUAUAGGAUCUAUUGAUGGCACCCGUAAUUAAUAUGAAUUUUGGAAACUAA